GACGAACGCUGGCGGCGUGCUUAACACAUGCAAGUCGAACGGAAAGGCCCUGCUUUUGUGGGGUUCUCGAGUGGCGAACGGGUGAGUAACACGUGAGUAACCUGCCCUUGUCUUUGGGAUAACUUCAGGAAACUGGGGCUAAUACCGGAUAGGAGCUCCUGCUGCAUGGUGGGGGUUGGAAAGUUUCGGCGGUUGGGGAUGGACUCGCGGCUUAUCAGCUUGUUGGUGGGGUAGUGGCUUACCAAGGCUUUGACGGGUAGCCGGCCUGAGAGGGUGACCGGCCACAUUGGGACUGAGAGACGGCCCAGACUCCUACGGGAGGCAGCAGUGGGGAAUAUUGCACAAUGGGCGGAAGCCUGAUGCAGCAACGCCGCGUGCGGGAUGACGGCCUUCGGGUUGUAAACCGCUUUCGCCUGUGACGAAGCGUGAGUGACGGUAAUGGGUAAAGAAGCACCGGCUAACUACGUG
rnacentral:rRNA from 1 species